UCUUUAGGAAGGAACUGCCGGUCUUCUAGGUCAUCUUCCUCAAAAUUCCCCAACUUCUCAUCUUCCUCUUACAAAUGCUCAAAAUCCCCAACUUCUUUCAAGCUCGUAUAGAUCGCCAUUCAUGCUUCGUUCACGUCCCUUUUGUUCUUCCCUCAUAAGAGAAAAAGAAAGCAAUUCAAGGCAAAGUUCCAUCUACAUCUGCUAGGUCUACAUGAAGUCCAAAAUCAGAACAUGACACUUUGAAUUUUUGGUUUCUCCGACACACAAAGCAGCAAAUAUGAGACAAAAAUAUUAUAACAUUGAAGGUAUGCCAUUUUCCAUAACUUAAAUCUGUUUAAUUUUUGAUUUCCCCCUUCAUCAUUUGAUUUUUCGCAUCUAAGAGCUGAUCUUGCAAAAGGAGUACAGUGCGAUAACAAGCGAUUUGUGAUCAAUAAAAAGUACCACCGGAUUCUGUACCCAUCAGUCUUGGUUCUUGAGGCAUCUUCGCUCCGUGAACCCGGCUGCUAUUGAAGCCCGAAUGGAAGCAAGCCGUCAAAGAAUUCGGGAACUAGAAGAAAGACUCCAGGGACUACGCCAGGAGCAGCAGGCACUGAUCGUGGAGCCAAUCUUCCUUGGUGCCCGAGAAAACUAAAAGAGUUCGUCGACACUUUUUAAGAAAUCAAAAUCUCAAUUUUUCUCCCAAAUUUGUCGAUGGACUCCGGUCAAAGUGUCCGAAGUCGGUUGAUCGUAUUCGGGACGUUUCCCGCUCUAGCACCCGUCCAAGUCUAGUAUCAGGACGGGGACGACACCAAAAUUGAAGAGUCCGUGCAACUUAGAUUAUUACUUAUAACUUGAACCAAUUAUACUCUCUAACGCGCUCCACGUUUCUCUCCGGUCUUAACAAAUGAGUAAGCAUCUAUCGACUCCAUAAAUGCUAUUCCAUGCGGAGAAUUCACCGAAAAACUUAUCAAAGUUCUUUGUUUCCUAUCUGACCAUCCAUCCGCCAUAAUGGAACAUCCAUACUUCAGUCAUUCUUCUCUAUGUUUGUUUAUAAUCUUAUUGGUUAACUCACCUCCUUCCUAAGUAACGGAACCCUUAAUUCGUGGUAGCUUGGAGGCUUCAAGUUUGGACCAUACCUUCCUAUAGCCUCAACUGCUUCCUUGAAACUUUUUGAGCGAGCAACACUG
rnacentral:lncRNA from 1 species